AACGAACGCUGGCGGCAGGCCUAACACAUGCAAGUCGAACGCCCCGCAAGGGGAGUGGCAGACGGGUGAGUAACACGUGGGAACCUUCCCUAUAGUACGGAAUAGCCCAGGGAAACUUGGAGUAAUACCGUAUACGCCCGAGAGGGGAAAGAAUUUCGCUAUAGGAUGGGCCCGCGUAGGAUUAGCUAGUUGGUGAGGUAACGGCUCACCAAGGCGACGAUCCUUAGCUGGUUUGAGAGAACGACCAGCCACACUGGGACUGAGACACGGCCCAGACUCCUACGGGAGGCAGCAGUGGGGAAUAUUGGACAAUGGGCGCAAGCCUGAUCCAGCCAUGCCGCGUGAGUGAUGAAGGCCUUAGGGUUGUAAAGCUCUUUUGCCGGGGACGAUAACUGACGGUUACCCGGAGAAUAAGUCCCGGCGUAACUUCGUG
rnacentral:rRNA from 1 species